rnacentral:lncRNA from 1 species
UGACUUUGGGAAAAUUCGGCCAAAUCCAAAGGGUGGAUUUUUGGGUUCUUGUUUGAUUUGUUAAAAGUGUUUUAAGGUGACUUUUGGAACCCCUAUGUACCCUAAGUUUGGUUAGAUGUUAUUUCCCUAAAGUUUAAAUGGUUUUGGGAUGUUUUUGGGUGAAAAAAAGUUCAUGGAAAAAUUUUGGGUUUUUCAUGAAUGUUCUUCAUUGUUCUUGACAUUUUUGCCAAGAACAAAAAGUUUGGUGUUUUGAUUCAAAGUUUUGAUUAAUUUCAUGAAGUCUUUGUUUUGUGUUGAUUGGUGUGAAAUAUCUAUCAUCAAAACAUUUAUAUUUUUUGAAAGGUGAUAGAAAUUGUGAUGGGUGUGUAAGACUUACAAGGCUUUAUGAUUUACACACCACAUGCAUGGUUUUAUGAUUUACACCAACCAAAAACCACUUGCAAGGCUUUAUGAAUUUGUUGAAAAAAUUUUCAAAAUUUUGUGGACUAACACUCCAAAACCGGCCACCCUAUUAUUAGGGUUCUUUUGGGUCUUUUAUGCAAUUACAUAAUCCAUUUAAAUCAAUUUUAUGG